CCCCCUGCUGGCCUCCGCUAAGCAUGGGUUGUUGCUUCGCCCUCGCGCCGCUUGUCUCUGUUGUUGGAUCUGUGUAUGCGUUAAGGGUUGCUCGUGUCCAGUGGGGGAAUUUCGUUAUUCUUGACUAACCUGUGGCAAGCGUUGGUCCUUGCUUCGUGAGGAGGGAGGAAGAGAGAGGGGACGCAGAGAGCUUGUGCCGAGAAGGGUCUGGAGGGAGAUAAGAAAGAUGACAAAUGAGGACUGACCGAGGAAAGUGUUUGGCUUCACGGGUUGGCCGCCUUGUUCAGGGAGUGGGCGUCUUCGCUGCAGCCGUCGCCUCCGCCGCCCACAUACACGUUCGUGAGUGUGGGCGGCGACUCACUUUUACUCUGGUUCUGCGGGCGUGAUCUGUGGGUGUAGUGGGUGAGGACAAGCCCCGCCACUACCAGCACCAGGACGGCGCCCACACCGCCCACCACCGCGCCCACGACCGGGGGGAUGAGGACGCCUUUCUCCGGGGGUCCUGUGGGUGUGGGGAAGAGUGAGGGGCUUAGCGCGGAGUAUUGAGGCGUGAUUAUGUAAAUGGAAGAAAAGGUCUGAGCGUGAAAUGGUCUCUCUCUCUCUCUCUCUCUCUCUCUCUCUCUCUCUCUCUCUCUCUCUCUCUCUCUCUCUCUCUCUCUCUCUCUCUCCCAC